ACGGGUGCGUAACGCGUGGGAAUCUGCCCUUGGGUUCGGAAUAACAGUGAGAAAUUACUGCUAAUACCGAAUGAUGACGUAAGUCCAAAGAUUUAUCGCCCAGGGAUGAGCCCGCGUAGGAUUAGCUAGUUGGUGAGGUAAAAGCUCACCAAGGCGACGAUCCUUAGCUGGUCUGAGAGGAUGAUCAGCCACACUGGGACUGAGACACGGCCCAGACUCCUACGGGAGGCAGCAGUGGGGAAUAUUGGACAAUGGGCGAAAGCCUGAUCCAGCAAUGCCGCGUGAGUGAUGAAGGCCUUAGGGUUGUAAAGCUCUUUUACCCGGGAUGAUAAUGACAGUACCGGGAGAAUAAGCUCCGGCUAACUCCGUGCCAGCAGCCGCGGUAAUACGGAGGGAGCUAGCGUUAUUCGGAAUUACUGGGCGUAAAGCGCACGUAGGCGGCUUUGUAAGUUAGAGGUGAAAGCCUGGAGCUCAACUCCAGAACUGCCUUUAAGACUGCAUCGCUUGAAUCCAGGAGAGGUGAGUGGAAAUUCCGAGUGUAGAGGUGAAAUUCGUAGA
rnacentral:rRNA from 1 species